rnacentral:rRNA from 1 species
AUUGAACGCUGGCGGAAUGCUUUACACAUGCAAGUCGAACGGCAGCACGGGGCAACCUGGUGGCGAGUGGCGAACGGGUGAGUAAUACAUCGGAACGUGCCCAAUCGUGGGGGAUAACGUAGCGAAAGUUACGCUAAUACCGCAUACGAUCUACGGAUGAAAGCGGGGGAUCGCAAGACCUCGCGCGAAUGGAGCGGCCGAUGUCAGAUUAGGUAGUUGGUGGGGUAAAGGCUCACCAAGCCGACGAUCUGUAGCUGGUCUGAGAGGACGACCAGCCACACUGGGACUGAGACACGGCCCAGACUCCUACGGGAGGCAGCAGUGGGGAAUUUUGGACAAUGGGCGCAAGCCUGAUCCAGCCAUUCCGCGUGCAGGAUGAAGGCCUUCGGGUUGUAAACUAGCUUUUGUACGGUAACGAAACGGUUCUCGUCUAAUACUAGGGGCGUAAU